rnacentral:rRNA from 1 species
GACGAACGCUGGCGGCGUGCUUAACACAUGCAAGUCGAACGAAGUGGCGAACGGGUGAGUAACGCGUAAUCAACCUGCCCUUCAGAGGGGGACAACAGUUGGAAACGACUGCUAAUACCGCAUACUGAAGGCGGAGAUGGCGGGGGAUUAGCUAGUUGGAGGGGUAACGGCCCACCAAGGCGAGGAUCAGUAGCCGGGCUGAGGGGGUGAACGGCCACAUUGGGACUGAGACACGGCCCAGACUCCUACGGGAGGCAGCAGGUGGGAAUCUUCCGCAAUGGACGAAAGGCUGACGGAGCAACGCCGCGUGAGUGAUGACGGCCUUCGGGUUGUAAAGCUCUGUUAAUCGGGACGCGGUACCGGAAUAGAAAGCCACGGCUAACUACGUGCCAGCAGCCGCGGUAAUAC